rnacentral:snRNA from 1 species
GUGCUUGCUUCGGCAGCAUAUAUACUAAAAUUGGACCGGUACAGAGAAGAUUAGCAUGGCCCCUGCGCAAGGAUGACAUCCUUCUUUUAUUUAUUUUUAAAAAUUAU